rnacentral:tRNA from 1 species
GACGCUCUAGUGUAAAGGUAGCACAUUGACCCUUCACGUCAAUAGUUCGGGUUCGAUCCCCGAGAGCGUUA